UAUCCCUCUCAUACUGCUUAC
rnacentral:siRNA from 1 species